rnacentral:rRNA from 1 species
GACUCCUACGGGAGGCAGCAGUGGGGAAUUUUGGACAAUGGGGGCAACCCUGAUCCAGCAAUGCCGCGUGAGUGAAGAAGGCCUUCGGGUUGUAAAGCUCUUUUGUCAGGGAAGAAACAGCAGCUCUAACACAGUCUGCGAAUGACGGUACCUGAAGAAUAAGCACCGGCUAACUACGUGCCAGCAGCCGCGGUAAUA